CCUCCGGCCCCCACACCGCCCACAGCCGGAAGCCUGGCCCUGCGCGGCAUGCCGGGAGGCCUUCGCUGGCCCCGCCCCGUGCCGGCGCCCCGCCCCCUCACCGCCCCUCCGCCCCCCCGCUCCGUCUCCCCAGGGGCGCGGCCGGCGCCUACACGGCCUGACUCGACCCAUCCGGGCCUCGCCUUUGUCCUCGGGUGACCGCCGCCAGGGAGGCGGGAGCUCGUGACUAGGCCCUCAGAGGCGCGUCGGGCCGCCUCCGUCGUCUGAGUCCCACGUCUGGUUAGGAUCCCCGUUACGCUUUUCACUCCACGGCUGUAGAAAGCGCCCUGCGGCCCAGGGCCUACCGCGAGGGGCGCCUGGGCUGGGACGCCGGUUGGAGGCGGCCCAGCUUCUGACCCGGGAGAAUCUCUGUCCACGCGCCAGGGUCCUGGGAGACCAGCCUCCCGGACGCAAGUGGGGUGUGCAGGCGGGCCGUCCGCGCCUAACGUGCGGCCACCGGCGGCGUCCCUUGUGAUCAACAAGGCUUGGUGGCGGGAAAUGAAAGGUCAGACUUGCUGAAGAUCAUAUGAGUGAGCUUGGAAGUGAAUUCUCCAGCCCUCGGCGAGCUAUGAGGUGACCACAGUCCCUCAGCCCGACAGCUUGACAGCAACCUCUGGAGACCCUGAGGCAGAAACACUGAACUAAGCCAUUCCCUGAUUCCUGACCCUCAAAAACUUCGGGAGAGAAUAAACGUUGCUUUAAGCUCCUAAGAGCAAAAUUCCUAAGGCAAGGAUCCUGCUGCCUUCCAUAGCAAGUAACACUGCUGUGCAUGAGGAAUUCAACAGUAUUUAUUAAAUAACUAUCAGUAAGUUAUCUGACAGCUAGAUACCCCACAAUUUCCCAUUUUUAAUCAAAUAAAUGAGACAAUUUUAAUGCUUGGAGUGGGUAGAAUCGUAUCAUCUCUAAAAGAUAGGUUCAAGUCCUGACCUUCGGUAUUUGCAAAUGUGACCU